rnacentral:rRNA from 1 species
GAUGAACGCUAGCUAUAGGCUUAACACAUGCAAGUCGAGGGGAAACGGCAUUAUGUGCUUGCACAUUUUGGACGUCGACCGGCGCACGGGUGAGUAUCGCGUAUCCAACCUGCCCUUUACUUGGGGAUACCCCGUUGAAAGACGGCCUAAUACCCGAUGUAAUUCAUUGAUGGCAUCAGAUAUGAAUAAAAGAUUUAUCGGUAAAGGAUGGGGAUGCGUCUGAUUAGCUUGUUGGUGAGGUAAGGGCUCACCAAGGCGACGAUCAGUAGGGGUUCUGAGAGGAAGGUCCCCCACAUUGGAACUGAGACACGGUCCAAACUCCUACGGGAGGCAGCAGUGAGGAAUAUUGGUCAAUGGACGGAAGUCUGAACCAGCCAAGUAGCGUGCAGGAAGACGGCCCUAUGGGUUGUAAACUGCUUUUAUACGAGAAUAAUUUGAUGCACGUGUGCGUUAUUGCAUGUAUCGUAUGAAUAAGGACCGGCUAAUUCCGUGCCAGCAGCCGCGGUAAUACGGAAGGUCCAGGCGUUAUCCGGAUUUAUUGGGUUUAAAGGGAGUGUAGGCGGUUUGUUAAGCGUGUUGUGAAAUUUAGGUGCUCAACAUUUAACUUGCAGCGCGAACUGUCAGACUUGAGUACACGCAACGUAUGCGGAAUUCAUGGUGUAGCGGUGAAAUGCUUAGAUAUCAUGAAGAACUCCGAUUGCGAAGGCAGCAUACGGGAGUGUAACUGACGCUUAAGCUCGAAGGUGCGGGUAUCGAACAGG